CUACGGGUGGCUGCAGUGGGGAAUAUUGCACAAUGGGCGCAAGCCUGAUGCAGCCAUGCCGCGUGUAUGAAGAAGGCCUUCGGGUUGUAAAGUACUUUCAGCGGGGAGGAAGGGAGUAAAGUUAAUACCUUUGCUCAUUGACGUUACCCGCAGAAGAAGCACCGGCUAACUCCGUGCCAGCAGCCGCGGUAAUACGGAGGGUGCAAGCGUUAAUCGGAAUUACUGGGCGUAAAGCGCACGCAGGCGGUUUGGUAAGUCAGAUGUGAAAUCCCCGGGCUCAACCUGGGAACUGCAUCUGAUACUGGCUAGCUUGAGUCUCGUAGAGGGGAGUAGAAUUCCAGGUGUAGCGGUGAAAUGCGUAGAGAUCUGGAGGAAUACCGGUGGCGAAGGCGGCCCCCUGGACGAAGACUGACGCUCAGGUGCGAAAGCGUGGGGAGCAAACAGGAUUAGAUACCCUAGUAGUC
rnacentral:rRNA from 1 species